CAGGAUAAAAAGCAGGAGCAGAGAAGGAAAGAUGUUCAUCUGCAGCUCCUUUCAUCGCUGCUGCAGGAGGAAGAAAACAUUCAGUCUCUGCGUCCUUGAACGAGGAGGUGAAAGAGAAGGAGGUCACCUCUUUAAGAGCAGUCACCUCCUCAGAGCUGCUUUCAUCAUCUGCAGCCUCCACAACACAACAACGCUGCAUGCUUUCCUUUUC